rnacentral:lncRNA from 1 species
UUGCAAGUGUAGCUACGGCAUUUGGAGAAUCUACUAUACCAGAUAUUCUUCCUUCGCAUGGACAGCAUGAGAGUAAGAGGUAUACCUGUUCACACCAUAGUUUCUUGAUCAAAUUUAUCUCUAGUUUUAAUGCUUGUGAUCAAUUAGGUUCUGUGAGAAACAUCUUGUUGCGGAGAUCAGUACCUGUUCUUUUGAGUAACCGAAUUUGAAGAGAUAGUCUAUGGCAUUGAGAACUGCUCGUUUGUAAGCAACUGUUGCAUCUAGGUACUGUUGUCUUCCUCUCUCAUCGACACUGAUACCUUCGAAGACCAGCCACUCUGAGAAUCUCGGUUCCACUGGCCCUAUCUCAAAGAUCGGGUUUACGUGGAGAGGGGUAGGUCCCAUUGGUGUAAGGUACUCCUGCAUCCCGUUUCUAAUGAUUUCACACCUAUUAAUGAGUCACAUAGUGGUAUCUGGUCAGAAUUUCAUAGUAACACUGCACAAAAACAAGGACAUCUAAGAAAAUCUUGUAGAGUAUAAUCACUAGAAAAACUGCAAUUGGGAACUUAUUUUCAUACUUGAGUUCUAGAAAUCCACUCAUCUCGAUGGCUCCACAGAAUGAGAUCUCACCAUCACCUUGCGAGAAAUGCAUGUCACCGGUGCUUAGAUUAGCCCCUUCUACAAACACUGGAAGAUAUAUUUUAGAGCCUCUGCUUAGGUUUUUUAUGUCACAGUUCCCUCCGUUUUCUCUUCCUGGUAUUGUCCUUGCAGCUUCCUUUGAAACCCUUUCCCAUUCUGGUGUUCCUUCUUCAAUCUACAACAUUAGGUAAGAAUCCUUUAGAGUUCAGGGGUAACUACCAUUUUAUACAGUUCAAAAACUUUGUUAUGGCAUCAGCAAAUAUCGUUUUGGUAUAGCUUACAUUCCCUAGGAGGCAUCCUUUACUUGUCGGUAGGUUAGCCAGUGGCCGCUGAUGCACGACCUCACAUAAAGUUAGGGACUCAAGACCACAUUCUUCUAAUUGUCUUUCCCUUUCAUUCCAUAUUCUUAGGAGUUCUUUUGAUGGUGCAGUGCCAAUGAUUCCUGGGUGUGUCAAACCCGGGAAUCGUACUCCUGCCGAGCCAUAGUGUGAUGAUAUUAACAUGAGAAUAAUCAAUAGAACACCUCAUAAUAGGGAAAACUACAUGGUUAUGCUAGUCAUUUCUUGAAAAAAGACAUGGACAUGUUGUGUUCUUACCAGGAAUUUGAGGAGAGUAGGCAUAAAUCCCUUCAAAGUACCAAAUAGCUUUAGUCGCACAAGGGAAAUGGUCAGUCAAGAAACCGCCGCCAUUCUCUCUAUCAAACGAACCAGUGAAUCCCCAUUCAUCUCCUGGAAGAGGACCUAAGUUGCAUAUCUCAACAGCAAGAAGAUCACCUGGCUUAGCUGCAACACCAUCCUCAUCCACAACUUUGAUCGGCCCACUCAGGUAAUGAACCUGCAUAAUCACCAAGAAACUCUUACCUAUGUGCAAGCCAUCAUGAUUGGUUUACUCAUGUUUCUCACUAAACCUCCUUACAGUAGAGAGGUCUAUGCUCUUAAUAUCGCCAGCAGAGCCAUCGUCUUUGACUGCACCCCCCGUCCAGUCAACCAUUUCCACCCUAAACAACUCACCAGCCUUGACCUCUGCAACUGAUGGUAUCUCAGGAUGCCAUCUAUUGUGCAGUGGCUGAGCCUGCUGCCACGGCCUCUUCUUCAAAUCCACCUUCACCACCACUCGUGGACUUGCUGGAGCCAUCAAACCGAACCAAUAAGUACGGUAUAUUCUCUCUCUACUCACACUUUCUAUGUUUAUAUAUAUAUUUCACUCUUGGAAUCAUUGGUCUUGCAGAUUCCUUAUCCACAACUAAAGGACAGUAAAAGAUCCCAUCUUUCACCAUCUCGUAGACUUUUCUAUAUCUAGACAAAUGACUUUCAUUCAUCUUAGUAUCUUACAAAGUGGAUAAUGCCGUAAGACACGUAUGUCUCUUUGUCUGUGUGUGGCCAUGCAUAUAGAUGACAAGAAGUUGAAAAUGACAUUUUCUUGACUUAUGUUCUGAAUAGGGUCUCUAUGUUUGGAGAGAGGAGGAGCUCACGAAGGAGGAAUUUUACAUUCGACUUAUUAAUUGCGCAGUUUUGCAAUUCAAUGAAAGCUAUUUUCAGACAGAAUCUGAUGCAUCACCCUAAAGAGUGCAUAUAAAGAUUUACAGAAUCUGAUGCAUCACCCUAAAGAGUGCAUAUAAAGAUUUAGGACGCAUUUCAUUACCUUCCAAUUUUUAGAGUUUCUUGAUGUGGAAUUUCCAACAAAGAAAAAGAAACCAUUUCUCUCUUUAUUUCAAAACAUGUCUGAUUAGUAAAUUAUACUGUCUAGAUAGUUGCUUCUCUACAUAAAUGAUUUCUAGUAGCUUGUCGAAGAACUUGGAUUCUUUGUAAUUGGAAGCUUUCCAUCAUAUGUGCUCUUCAGUACAUCUGGUUUCCUCACUAUCCGAGGUCCUACUGGAACCUUCCGAGUCUUUGGCCGAAUAUCCUGCAUUAACGUACAUACAAAAGCAAUUAACAUCUUUGUCUUCCUAUUUUUCAGUUGUUAACAAAUUAUUGAGUGACGAGGGUGAAGAACAGAGUAAACUUAAGAGGUUUCUACAGAAGCUUUUUUGUACUUAACCAAAGAACAGAGGAGCACAAAUUCAUACCUGAUCAAAGAUGGCUGUAGGUAUUGCUAGUGUAGCAACGGCAUUUGGAGAAUCAACUAUCCCAGAUAGUCUUCCUUCACAUGGACAACAUGAGAGCAAGAGGUACACCUGUUCACAUCAUAUUCUCUUGAUCACUUCUGUCUUUCUAGUUUUAAUUUAUGGAUAUUUGGUUUAUGAUCAACUAGAUUCUGGAAGAAACAUCAAGCUACAAAGACAAGUACCUGUUCUUUUGAGUAACCAAAUUUGAAGAGAUAGUCUAUGGCGUUGAGAACUGCCCGUUUGUAAGCAACUGUUGCAUCCAGGUAAUGUUGUCUCCCGCUCUCAUCGACACUGAUACCUUCGAAGACAAGCCAUUCUGAGAAUCUCGGUUCAACUGGCCCUAUCUCAAAGAUUGGGUUUACAUGGAGCGGGGUCGGUCCCAUUGGCGUAAGGUAUUCUUGCAUCCCAUUCCUUAUGAUUUCACACCUAUUAAGGAGUUACAUAAUGGUAUCUGGUCAGAAUUGUUUAAUACGCUGCACACAAACAAAAACAUCUGAGAAUGCAUAGUAGAGUAACUUAUUUACAUACUUGAGUUCUAGAAAUCCACUCAUCUCGAUGGCCCCACAGAAUGAGAUCUCACCAUCACCUUGCGAGAAAUGCAUGUCUCCUGUGCUUAGAUUAGCCCCUUCUACAAACACUGGAAGAUAUAUUUUAGAGCCUCUGCUUAGGUUUUUAAUGUCACAGUUUCCUCCGUUUUCUCUUCCUGGUAUCGUCCUCGCAGCCUCGUUUGCAAUCCUUUCCCAUUCCGGUGUUCCUUCUUCAAUCUACAAGAGGAUUAUGUUAGAAACCCUGGGAAGUCAAGAGUUAAGCACCAUUUUAUACUCAUCAACGCUUACGUUCCCUAGGAGGCAUCCUUUAGCUGUUGGUAGGUUUGCCAAUGGCCGUUGAUGCACAACCUCACAUAGUGUUGGGGACUUGAGACCACUUUCUUCUAAUUGUCUUUCCCUUUCAUUCCAUAUUCUCAGGAGUUCCAUCGAUGGCGCGGUGCCAAUGACUCCUGGGUGUGUCAAACCCGGAAAUCGUACUCCUGCCGUGAUGUGAUGAUAUUAGCAU